CAGUCGAGCGAAACCACUUCGGUGGGAAGCGGCGAACGGGUGAGUAACACGUAGGUGAUCUGCCCAUCAGACGGGGACAACGAUUGGAAACGAUCGCUAAUACCGGAUAGGACGAAAGUUUAAAGAUGCUCCUGGCAUCACUGAUGGAUGAGCCUGCGGCGCAUUAGCUAGUUGGUGGGGUAAAGGCCUACCAAGGCGACGAUGCGUAGCCGACCUGAGAGGGUGAACGGCCACACUGGGACUGAGACACGGCCCAGACUCCUACGGGAGGCAGCAGUAGGGAAUCUUCGGCAAUGGGCGAAAGCCUGACCGAGCAACGCCGCGUGAAUGAAGAAGGCCUUCGGGUUGUAAAAUUCUGUUAUAAGGGAAGAAAGGUGAUAGGAGGAAAUGACUAUCAAUUGACGGUACCUUAUGAGAAAGCCACGGCUAACUACGUGCCAGCAGCCGCGGUAAUACGUAGGUGGCAAGCGUUAUCCGGAAUUAUUGGGCGUAAAGAGCGCGCAGGUGGUUAAUUUAGUCUGAUGUGAAAGCCCACGGCUUAACCGUGGAGGGUCAUUGGAAACUGGUUGACUUGAGUGCAGAAGAGGGAAGUGGAAUUCCAUGUGUAGCGGUGAAAUGCGUAGAGAUAUGGAGGAACACCAGUGGCGAAGGCGGCUUCCUGGUCUGCAACUGACACUGAGGCGCGAAAGCGUGGGGAGCAAACAGGAUUAGAUACCCUGGUAGUCCACGCCGUAAACGAUGAGUGCUAAGUGUUGGGGGUCGAACCU
rnacentral:rRNA from 1 species